rnacentral:lncRNA from 1 species
UUCCUUUCCAGGAGUGGGGGUGUGGGGUGGGCAGGAUGAUGGAUAAGAGGUGUGGUGUCCUCACUCUCUCUGCUCUCUCCACAUACCCAAGGGGAAGAGGAAGUGUUAGACUCAUCUGUUCUCCCUCAUGGGGUAGCUCAGGGUUUCACAAAGUGUGUUCUGUGAGGCAUAAAGGAUCAAGAAGUGAUAAAAAAAAAUUCCAUGAAAAAAUCAUUAUUUUGAUAAAUAAAUUAAGGAAAGACUAGAUUAAACAAAGUUAAAUGGUUCCUCACUGCAGGGUCUCUCUGAGUCUUUAGUUUGAUGCUGUGUAUUACGCACUCACUUGAGGGGCUAUGGCAUGAAGAAAUUUUCAAACUUAUUGGACCUAAAAACCCAUUUUUUAUGAACAACCAAGAAUAUGUCUUAGAACACUAGGAUUCCCAGGAAUCAUUUUGUAAACUGUUAAUAUGUGGGGGAUUUGCCUUUCAAAGAGGACUCCCCACAAGAAGGGAGUAAUGUUUACUGCUACAGGAUUUAUGCCAUGCUAUGGUUUCAAUGUUUGUGUCCCCCCAGUUUCUAUGUUGAAAUCCUAAUCCUCAAAGUGAUGGUAUUAGAAGGUGGGGCCUUUGGGAGGUGAUUAAGUCAUGGGUCUGGAGCUCUCAUGAAUAUUAGUGCCUUUAUAAAAGAGGCCACAGAGAGCUAGCUAGCCCCUUCCACCAUGUGAAGAUACAUGAGAAGGGGCUAUAUAUGAGCCAGAAAGAGGCUCUCACUAGACACCAAACCUGCGGGUGCCAUGAUCUUGGGUUUCCCAGACUCUAGAACUAUAAAGAAAUCAAUUUCUGUUUGUAAGCCACCCAGACUAAGACAUUUUGUUAUAGCAGCCUCAAUGGACUGAGACAUGCUACCAUACAGAAUUUCAGUUAUCAGUGGGCAGUUGGGGGAAUUCUUCCAACAGCCUCAGAAUGUCCGCUUUUCCCCAUUGGGCUUAAGAGGGAAGUUGAGAGAGGGCUUCCGGUAAGAGGCAGUUAGUAGGGUUAGUUCCUGCUGAUCAACAGAGCAAAAUAAACAAGAGGCAGGGGAUUUGGGAACUUCUUUCACAAAGGGCUGAAAGAACAAACACAUGGAGGAAAAACAUGAAACUUCCAAGAGUACAGUCCUAUGAGCAAAAACUCAGACAUCUUUGAGCGAUAGAAGAGACAACUGGGCCGGGGGCCAGUUCAGUGCGGACCUACAUUUCAACCACCAUGAUGAAGGUUUGGGGCUGUUAUGAUCACAUUUGCCUUUUACUUCUCAUAAUACUGAGAUAUACCUGUGAGAAUACAGCUGUGCUAGAGAAGCCAGGACUGAGAAGUAAUUUAAUAUUCAUCCUUAAGUGUCAGGAAGGUUAUUAUGGGAAGGAAGGUGACAAGCUACUCCUCCCUGAGCUCAGAGCAUGAAGAGAUGGAUGUGAACCUCUACAAAUGAGACUUAGGUUACAGUCAUGGAAGACAUAGUGAGCUUCAUCUGAGUCCUGUUCUCCAGCCUGUCUUGGACACUGUACCCCCCAUCUGUUAGUAGAGUGGCAACGUGGUCUAGAAAGAGCACUGGGCAAGGAACCCCGGAGUCCUGUAGAGACCUUUUAGCUGCCAUGACCUUAGACAUGCCAGAUGUGUCCAUUUAUGGAUCUCAUUUUCUUCUCUUUUUUAAAUAAGGAAGGUCAUGGUUUAUGGUCUCUGAGCUUCUUCCUUCUACUUCAACCACUGGUUCUAUGCUAAGUCUAAGUGUUGGAAUGUAGAUACUCUUGAGUGUCUUCCUAAGCCUGAAUCAGUUGUCUGUAACCCAGGUCGAUAUACUAGCUGCUGUAGCAAACAAAUCUCAAAACAUACAAUGGCCCAUGCAUGGUAGAAAUUUACUUCUUGUUCACAAAAGGUCUAAAAUGUGUUUCCCUAAUGAGCACGCCAUUUUCCUCCAAGUGGUGAUACAGGGAAGCAGGAUCUUUCCUGUUUGAGGUUCUUACAUCUUAGGUACUUGGCUCCAAGGGAGCCAUGCUCAUUUACAUCGAGCUGGUGGAAGAGGAAAAAGCACUAGGCAAUUGAGCCUGAGAGAUUUUUAAGGACUGACUAGGAAGGGUGUGCAUUAUUUCCGGUCAAAUUCCACUGGUGAGAAAUCACUCACAUAGAAACAUCUAAAUACAGGAGAGCCUGGGAAAGGUAGUUCAGCUCCGUGCCCAGGAAAAAGAGGAAAUGGAUUUAGCCAAUAGGAAUCAAUCUGUGCCAUAGAGAGGAGAGUUUAAAGGAGAAAGUAUUAUGUGAAUUGAAGAAGAGUAAGAUUGAGGUAAUGUUAAUUAUCUUCCUCUUUCUGAAGAGCUAGAAGUCCUCAGCUGCUGAAGGAUGGCAGGGCCUGGGCUUAAAAAUGUUUUCUGGCCCACAAGGAAGAGCCAUGAGCAAAGACUCAAGAUGCACUAGAUUCUAGUUUGGUUGUCUCAAACUAGCUAUGGGACUGAAUAUAAUUUAUCUGACCAUUGUGCUUACAGUUUCCUCAUCUGUCAAUGGUAACCAAAAUGCAUACUCUAACUACCUAACAGAAUUGUUUUAAAAGUCAGGUAUAGCAACAUCAUGCACAUUUUGUAAAAACAAAACAAUGAUUAAAAUAGAGAAUGAGUUUAAAUUGCAGAUGGAGAAAAUUAAAUUGGGUAAGGAAAAAAGAAACAACUUUCCCCAUAGUGAAACAGGGAAAAUUUUUAGAGAAUGUGCAAAUAACUUCAAGAAAUCAGUGGGAAACAAUUUUGACAAGAGUGGAAAGAAAACUCCAACUGGAAAGAUAGCUUGUGGGGGUCAGCACAGGAGACGUGGACUGUGGUUCUGGCACUACACGCAGAUUGCUGUUUGACCUUGACUGAGUCUCUUCCCCUCUUGGGGCUUCAGUUUCCCCUUUGUGAAACAAAAGCAUUGAACUAAAUAAUCUUGCUAGGGUCUCAUUCUCAAAUGUUAUACUUCUGAUUGUGCGCUCAAUCCUGUCUGGAUUCAAGGAUCCAAAAGGCUUUAAGACACAGUCAAUUGCCAGGCUGGCAUUUCAACAUGGAUGUCCAAAAGGCAUCUCCAGCCUCUCAUGUGCAUCCAAAGCCUUAGGUUGUCUUCCUUUCCCAGAAGGUUCCUCCUGCGGCACAGCCUUCCACACUUCAGGAAAAGGGCGGCUACUCUGGGGGUCCGCCUUUAUCCUCAGUGCCGCACACAGCCUGCAAUCCAUCAACCAGCAUGUCCCGUCACUCCGCCUUCAAAUCUCACCUCCUUCCUGCCAUCAGCUCGCACCUGUGCUGUGCACCUGCCUCACAAGGGCUCUCCUUGAGCCCACUCUCACCGCUCUCCAUCUGUUCCUCACUCAGUCGUCAGGGUGAGCUCUUUAUCCUUUCCUUCAUUCAAAAUCUCCCAAUGGCUUCUCGUCGCAUUGGGAAUAAAAUCAAAAUCCUUGCCUUGGCCUGCGCAGGUUCUUGACCUCACUUGUAGCUCUCUCCUGCUUCUCCUGACCACCCCCGCUUUGGCCGUAGCCAGUUUGGCUGCUUUUCAGCAUGUGGGGCUCAGUUUGGUCUCACGGCCAUUGCACUUGCUGUGUUUGGGGCACUUUCCUUCCAGAUCUUCUUCCGGUUCCUUCCUUUGCUCCAUUCCCAUCUCAAUUCAGAGGUCCCUUCUUUCAGGAGGCUUCCUUCUCUAGCUCCUAAUCCAUUGACCUCUAGUUCUCCAUCCUUCUCUAGCUCCUAAUCUAUUGAUCUCUCUCUCUCACCCUCACCCUGACUUAUUUCUCCUUAAGGCACUUAUCACUCCCUGACAUUAUUUUAUUUCUUUAUUUGCGUAUUUUCUGUCUCUCUCCACUAAGAUGUGAACUCCAUCAGUGCAGAAACUUUUCCUGUCUUGUGUACAACUGUAUCCCUUGUGACGUCUUGUAAGCAUUCAAUAAAUGUUAACUAAAUGAGUGAAUGAAUCAAGGAGGAGAAACUGACCAUAGGGCCUCUGCAGAGCAGCAAACAUUCUUCCACAAAUGGAGGAGAGCUGGGGACUUGGUUUUCUGGCCAGAGGUGAAGCUGGCCCAUCCCCCUCCAGCCUGGAGUGCAGGCAUUUGUGCAGGGCAUGGGUCUCUGACACUGCGAGCCAGUUGUCUCUGCCCCAUGGCUCUGAUCAGAUCCAGGCACUUGGGGUUCUGUGCUUCUCUGCUUUUCUCUUUUUAGGCGGUACUUGGCUGACCUCCCAGGGGGUAUAGCUGGCUUCUUCUCUAAGCCACUUGUUCUUGCUGUUAAGAAAUGACUAAGCAGAUUCUCCAUCUCCUGGUAGCCAGCUGCCAGCCUGCGAGACUUGAUGCUUUUCUGAAAGAGGGCCCUUCUUUUGCUCUGUGUUCAGAGAAAGCACGAAGCAGACAUCACCAUCAUUGCCUCCUUUGCAAUGGCCUGACUCACCUCCUCUUGGUGUGUGGCUCUAGGCUGACCCCCACAAGGAAGAGGGAGGCAGAAAUUGGUAUGAUUACUACCCUCAGGACUCAGCGUCCAAGUCCUGCUGGAUAUUAGAGAAUGACUGGUUGAGAAUAUUCAGAUGGUGACCUAAUCAUACCGGCACCAUUUUUACUGACAGAUUGCUAAGUGCCAGGCAGCAUGCUAACCUCCCUAGGUACCUUAGCUCAUUUGAUUCUUGCAAUCACCUUGUGAGGUAAGUACUGUGACUUUAUAGGUGAGGAAAUGGAGGCAAAGGAAAGUUGAGGAACUUGCCCAAGGUCAUAUGGCUCAGCAGCGGCGGCUGCAUAGAAGCACAGGACCCUGUUUUCAAUAUGCUUGCCUGUCUUGUCCAGGGUGCUUCUACACAGUGCUGCACAGGCAGCUCCUAAAGCUGCGUGCAGCAGGAGCACAAAGAAAACCCCAAGUAAUUCUUCCGAGGGUCUCUGCCGCCACCUCCUUAGUUUACUUCAGGAAGACCUCUGCCAAGUUCAGUGUGAAAUUAACAAAUUUAAUGUGAAAAACUGGUUUAGAAGUGAAAUGGAUUGUGGACUACUGGGUAUAAAUAAAACUAGAAAGAACUUUGCAGAAUCAUUUAUACGUUGACAUUUAUUGCAAAUCAUCAGGAGAGUGGUGUAUCAAACUGUCAUUCCUAAGUUUAAUUGACCAGGGAAUAUGUUUUUUUUUCCCCUUAGGAGUAUCUUAGGGGCUAGAGUUCCAAGAACACUCUUCAGAAAUUGCUGAACUGUGCAGAUAUACCCACUGACCUAUAAAGAUGCCUUGGGCAUUCCUCUUUCUAUUCCUUUGCCCACCCCACUUUCUCCAUCUGGAAUCCAUCCUCUGUCUGUCCAUAGAUCCGUCCAUCCAUCCAGUAAACAUCUACUGUGUUCCAGGCACUAUACAAGGUGCUUUCUCCUAAGUCAUCUUGUUAAUUUUUGCCACAGCCCCAUUCCAUAGAUAAAGAGGUGAUAGAGACAGGAGACAGACAAGGGUCCCUGGCGAAAACCCACCUAAAACCUAAAACAAUCCUGAAGGCUGAAAAACCGGACUGCUGGUCCUGGAUGAAGUCCACCCUUUCCUGAUUGGUUCUGUCUGAAUAAUGCGCACCAAAGGAAGCAGGUGGAGCAGGGAGGAGGAGUCUGGCCUCUUCAGUUCCUAUGUAGUGGCCUGGGAUUCAGUCUGCAAGGUGCGGGCCUGCUAGCAGGACUCUCUCGCUUUGCUGAGAGUUCCUCUUUCCUUUUUCCUUUUUCACCCAAUAAACCCUUCCUCGCAUCUCACCCUACAAUGUGUCCGUGAGCCUAAAUUUUCCGAGUAGUGUGAAAAGAACCUGUUUUUUUUUCCUGCAACAGAGGCAACAUAUCAGCAGACCACAAAGCUGGACAGUGAAAGGGCUGGGAUUAGAAUCCAAAUUUCCCAAUCCGGAUUCCAGAUUGUUUUUUCUUCUAUUCUUCAGUUUUUUGUCCUGUAGUUGCUUAUUCAUAUUUUCUCAAUUUGUCAAAAUCCUAACUCAAACUUCGUUUCCUUCAGAAAUUCAUGUUUCCCUUUCUUCCUAUGUGCUAUGCACAGAGAAACUUCUCCGUCUUCUAAACCCCCUCCAGACCAUCUCUAUCCAGAUUUGGCACCCACUUCAUCAGGUUCCCGGUUAAGAAGUGAGUGUGUGUGUGUGGGUGUCUUGGAUCUCCAGUGGUGUGUAAGCCAAGCACUUGGCACACAUCAUCUUUACUUGACACAUCAGCCUUGUGGGAGAGGUACCAUUACACUCAUUUUGUAGAUGACAGAACUGAUGCACGACGAGGUUCAGGCACUUGCCCAACAUCACCAAGCAAGUCAGUGAUGAAGCUAGGAUUUGAGCCUCAGUCUUCUGGCCCCAGAAUCCACAUUCCUUCCACUAUUCUAUGCUGAACCCCUUGUUGAGCCCCUAGUUUCAUAGCUGAGAAACUGAGGCCCAUGGAAGGACAGUGGCUAGCCCCGAAUCCCACAGCUGUGAAUAGCCGUGCUAAUACCACGUGCAAAGGCUCACAUCCGGGAACCUUUCUUCUCCAGCAGGCUGCCUCCCCAGGUCUAAUGCAGGUCCCAGCUAUUGCUGCCAGUUGGUUCCUGUUACCUGGAUGCCAUGGAAAUUGUACCUUGUAGCUCUUGAUACAGCAGGAGCCUGGUGGCUGCUCCCUGGGGGAGAGCCAAGGAAGGUCAGAGUACUAGCCUGCAAACCCAGCACCUAAAAUAUACCAGGCAGCAACCCCAGUGGAAACCAGGCAGCAAGCCAAGAGCAUGACAUAACCUUCCCACAGCUCAGGGCUGGAGUCGGCUUCCAGCUCCAAGGUUCCCUGGGUACAGCGCCUAACAGAGCACACGUGCACUUCAGGGCUGCGACUUCUUCCUUUUAUUUUAAAGAAAAUGAGUUUCUUUUACUCUGGUUCUAGAAUUGAGGGCUGGCAGGAAUUGAGGGAGCUAAGAGCCAGGAGACCCUUGGACCAUGGUGGGGAAGGGGCAAGGAAUAGGCUUCAGAUUGCUGGUUUCCCAAUUUGAAUGUUCAUCUGGACACUGGAAGAGCUUUCAAAAGUGAUCCAGGUUUCAUUCCAGACCUACAGAAUCAGAAUCCCUGGGGACAGGGCCUGGGAAUCGGUAUUUGAACAUGUUCUCCAGGUGAGUCUCUUCUGGUUCAGGUUUGUGAACUACCUUCCCAAAUAUGCCUCUUCAUGGCUAUCUCCAUUUGCUGGUAGUCCACCAGAUCUCCAUCUCCCAUCCUCAACUCACACUUAGUACACUUUUUUUUUCACCUGUGAAAUUUAAAUUCUAUAUUGUCCAUUUCCAUAGCUUUGAGGGUUGGUGUGAUAACAGCACUUAAUGGGGGUUUCUGUUAUUUUUUUUUUAAAACAGCAGAUUUUAGGUUUUCUCUUUAAAUGGAAGUUUAGGAGGGGUCUGUUCUGACAGAGGAAUAAGUUCCCUGAGAAUUCACUUUUGAAAAAUUUGGUUGUUUUAGAAGUCUGUCUCUGAGGCCCUUAGUAUCCAAAGGAGUCCGUGAAAGUCAGAGGUUGCCAUGGGAAUGGCAGCUGCCAGGAGACAGGCUAUUGUGUUUAGAUUCUUGUAUUAAUAACACCCUCCCCAGCAGCCAGAAAUACCUGUUGAAAGAGGAGAGGUUCUUUUCUUCUUAUUCAAGAAGAGUUUGGAAAGUUACUUUCCUCUGCCUUGAAGAGGGUCAGGGGUUUGUGGUUAGGUGUACAAGUGACUGUUUUUUCUCCUCUUGCCCAAGGUGAAGCAAGAGAACUCAGUUGGAACCUUGGAUCCUCCUAGCUGAUCAGAAGACUAGAGAGGAAAAACAAACUUAGAUGACUCCUCCUCCAGCAUAUCUAAGGGGGACAAAAGCCAUACUGGCCAUGGGGAGACCCUGGAUGAGUGUUGAUACCAAGCUGACCUGAAUUCCAGGCUCAAGUUGUAGAUGUGUGUUCUCCCCUGGGGAGGAGUUACUUACAAGGAUUCUGGGGAGGUUGUUAGCAGCCUACUUUCCACUUCAGUGGAAAGAGCAUUGGAUUCCAUGCAUCUCCUAGCUGCAUGACAGGGAAAGAAAAGGAAAAAGAGGAGAGGACUAGUUUUAGUUGAAUAUUAUACGUACCACAAGUUAGAUGUUGUGUUAGGUGCAGGGAAAUAAAAAUCACUAAGGCAGAAUUUGUACUUGCAAGGAGUUCUCUGUCUCGAGGCAAGCAUGGAAUCAGAAAUGGCAAGUGGUAGUCAUUUUGUUUGCUGACUGGAUUGCUGUGAUGAGUGUUUUCUGCGGGGAGGAAGGGAUGGAUGUCAUUUGGUAUGUCUGGAUCUAAAUAAACAAUACCAUGAUUUCCACUGCUCAGGAGAGUUGUGUGUGGUGCCCUGUGGAUGGUGCAGGUGAGACGUCCAAAGACAGCAUCGCUCACACUGCUCAGGACGGAUGAGGUACUGAAGGAGGCCAGAUUGGAGGAGCCAGCCUGGGCAGGGCUGUGGCUGUUUCAGGGCAAGAUGGGGCCUCCACGUGAAAAGUAACUACAAAACAGAACCAGAAAAUAGUCAUGCUGUUCAAAUAAAGAGACUGUGGCUCAGAAAAUACAAGCAACUUAUAAAAGAGAAAUAUCUGGACCACAAAGAGUCAACUCAUAGCUUUAUCUAAGGCUCCAGGGCUCUGAAGGUCAUGGGUGAACAAUUUUUUUAAUGAAGGAAAAUAAAUGAAUUAACGUGGUGACUUGUCCAGUUAAGCCAAAGAAGCCACACCAAGUGUUAGAGGACCACAGAGGAACCAGAGAGGAUCUGGGAAACCACCCAGGUGUUCAUUGUCUCCAAAGAGCUAAACCUUGCCUCAGAAAAAUGACCUUCUCCUAUCUUUCCUGCUGCAGCAAGAACCUCUGGUUUAACCAAUUAGGUAAGUCAUUUAUAUGACACUCAAUCUGAAUUAUUCUGUCUGUCUGUCUGUCUAUCAAUUUCUCUAU